rnacentral:lncRNA from 1 species
UUUCAUAAAAAUUUGGCUCAUGCCAUCAAAUAGUACUCGAUGACACCUUGAUCAGAGGUGUACACUCGAGCCCACCAAGGCUGUUAAAAUUUUUGUAUACACGUAAAACAUAUUUUUAGUUUGAGAAAACACAGUCGUUCCUUGGCGUUGGCUGAGUUCCCCUUCAUGUGGUGGUUCGACGUGAAGUGAACCCUAAGCUUUACCCUAGGAGAUACCCUAUGCGCCUCUCC